AUUGAACGCUGGCGGCAGGCCUAACACAUGCAAGUCGAACGAGUGGCGGACGGGUGAGUAAUGUCUGGGAAACUGCCUGAUGGAGGGGGAUAACUACUGGAAACGGUAGCUAAUACCGCAUACCAUCGGAUGUGCCCAGAUGGGAUUAGCUAGUAGGUGGGGUAAAGGCUCACCUAGGCGACGAUCCCUAGCGGGUCUGAGAGUAUGACCACACACACGGGACUUGAGACACGGUCCAGACUCCUACGGGAGGCAGCAUGGGGGAAUAUUGCACAAGGGGCGCAAGCCUGAUACAGCCAUGCCUCGUGUAUGAAGAAGGCCUUCGGGUUGUAAAGUACUUUCAGCGGGGAGGCGUUACCCGCAGAAGAAGCACCGGCUAACUCCGUGCCAGCAGCCGCGGUAAUAC
rnacentral:rRNA from 1 species